rnacentral:rRNA from 1 species
AUUGAACGCUGGCGGUAGGCCUAACACAUGCAAGUCGAACGAGUGGCGGACGGGUGAGUAAUGUCUGGGAAACUGCCUGAUGGAGGGGGAUAACUACUGGAAACGGUAGCUAAUACCGCAUACCAUCAGAUGUGCCCAGAUGGGAUUAGCUGGUUGGUGGGGUAACGGCUCACCAAGGCGACGAUCCCUGGCUGGUCUGAGAGGAUGACCGGCCACACUGGAACUGGUAAACGGGCCAGAGUCCUACGGGAGGCAGCAGUGGGGAAUAUUGUACAAUGGGCGCAAGCCUGAGGCAGCCAUGCCGCGUGUAUGAAGAAGGCCUUCGGGUUGUAAAGUACUUUCGGCGGGGAGGCGUUACACGCAGAAGAAGCACCGGCUAACUCCGUGCCAGCCGCCGCGGUAAUAC